UGACACCAUGAGUGCAUCGUACUAGGCCGGUGCGUCGUAAUGGAGCUCUGGGAUCGGAAAGCGAGGAAGGGCCGGCCAUGACCUGAGGAGUAGCAGAGGCGCGUAGCACUUCCUCACCUCGCCGUGUGCCGUUCGGAUGCGCGGUAUGCGUUUCCUGAACUUGGGAGCCCGGAGACCUCGCUGCCUUGGGGGCGAAACAGCGCGGUCGCUGACGCGUCGCGAUGAACGGCUGGGCGACGAAGCGGCGGCCACGUGACAGCGCAGAGCAAGUGGCAGCUGGCCGGGAAAGUCAUCGACAGCCGCGAACAAUGGCUCUUUUCGGAUGUAAGGAAGCACCUUGCUGACCUGUUCGGAACGACAACUGCCUUGGACACCAAGAUCACCAAGAAGGCAGUCACUUAGUAGCUUGCCGAGUUUGCAACGACUGGUGGUGACCAACCUGUUUUAUCACCACCAGGUGACAAAAUCAGCUGACAACAUCAGGUUAUGUAAUUCAUGCUGAUUCACACCUGGAUUACAUGAGAAAGAAGAAGACGGCGUGAAGACGUGGCUCACAGCAAAGGAAUUCCCACAAACAACAAGCACUCUGCGUCCGGCAUUCGCGCUGCUUAUUUCAUUUUUUUUUUCGUAUGCCGUCUACCGACCAGCCACCAUGAGCAUAAUCUUGUAUGACGCACCGUGAAUUCCAUCGACACAUGAAUUCGUAUGUAAUUUUAUACUUUGCAUUCUAGCGUUCACGCGACGUAGCCGCUCAGUAGUAUAGCGACCUUGUAAUUAA
rnacentral:lncRNA from 1 species